rnacentral:rRNA from 1 species
UGGGGAUUAUUGCACAAUGGGCGCAAGCCUGAUGCAGCCAUGCCGCGUGUGUGAAGAAGGCCUUCGGGUUGUAAAGCACUUUCAGCGGGGAGGAAGGCGAUAAGGUUAAUAACCUUGUCGAUUGACGUUACCCGCAGAAGAAGCACCGGCUAACUCCGUGCCAGCAGCCGCGGUAAUACGGAGGGUGCAAGCGUUAAUCGGAAUUACUGGGCGUAAAGCGCACGCAGGCGGUCUGUCAAGUCAGAUGUGAAAUCCCCGGGCUCAACCUGGGAACUGCAUUCGAAACUGGCAGGCUAGAGUCUUGUAGAGGGGGGUAGAAUUCCAGGUGUAGCGGUGAAAUGCGUAGAGAUCUGGAGGAAUACCGGUGGCGAAGGCGGCCCCCUGGACAAAGACCGACGCUCAGGUGCGAAAGCGUGGGGAGCAAACAGG